CUACGGGGGGCUCCAGUGGGGAAUCUUAGACAAUGGGCGCAAGCCUGAUCUAGCCAUGCCGCGUGAGUGACGAAGGCCUUAGGGUCGUAAAGCUCUUUCGCUGGGGAAGAUAAUGAAGGUACCCAGUAAAGAAACCCCGGCUAACUCCGUGCCAGCAGCCGCGGUAAUACGGAGGGGGUUAGCGUUGUUCGGAAUUACUGGGCGUAAAGCGCGCGUAGGCGGAUCAGAAAGUUGGGGGUGAAAUCCCGGGGCUCAACCCCGGAACUGCCUUCAAAACUCCUGGUCUUGAGUUCGAGAGAGGUGAGUGGAAUUCCGAGUGUAGAGGUGAAAUUCGUAGAUAUUCGGAGGAACACCAGUGGCGAAGGCGGCUCACUGGCUCGAUACUGACGCUGAGGUGCGAAAGCGUGGGGAGCAAACAGGAUUAGAUACCCGAGUAGUC
rnacentral:rRNA from 1 species